GUGCUUGCUUCGGCAGCACAUAUACUAAAAUUGGAAGGAUACAGAGAAGAUUAGCAUGGCCCCUGCACAAGGAAGUAUACAAAUUCCCUUAAGAGGCUACAAAUAAAA